rnacentral:rRNA from 1 species
AGGCGAUACGACCUGGAACGGUGUAUCGUUCAAACUCGAGCCACAGGAUGGGCCGGCGGUCGAUUAGGCUGUUGGUGGGGUAACGGCCCACCAAACCGAAGAUCGAUACGGGCCAUGAGAGUGGUAGCCCGGAGAGGGACACUGAGAUACUGGUCCCAGCCCUACGGGGUGCAGCAGGCGCGGAACCUCUACAAUGCGCGCAAGCGUGAUAGGGGGAUACUCAGUGCUUACGGCUCUGCUGUAGGCUUUUGCCGAGUCUAAAACACUCGGCGAAUAAGUGGUGGGUAAGACCGGUGCCAGCCGCCGCGGUAACACCGGCGCCACGAGUGGUCAUCGCGAUUAUUGGGCCUAAAGCGUUCGUAGCCGGCCUGGUAACUCUCUUGUGAAAUUGUCCGGCUCAACCGGACAGCGUGCAGGAGAAAGUGCCAAGCUCGAGACCGGGAGGGGUCAGAGGUAUUCCGUGGGGACCGGUAAAAUGGGAUAAUCCACGGAGGACCACCGAUGGCGAAGGCAUCUGACCAGAACGGAUCUGACGGUGAGGAACGAAAGCCAGGGGAGCGAACCGGAUUAGAUACCCGAGUAGUCCUGGCCGUAAACGCUGUGAGCUAGGUGUUGCGCAUCCUACGGGGAUGCGCAGUGUCGAAACGAAGGUGAUAAGCUCACCGCCUGG